rnacentral:rRNA from 1 species
AGAGUUUGAUCCUGGCUCAGGAUGAACGCUAGCGGCAGGCUUAACACAUGCAAGUCGAGGGGCAUCGGGAGGGAAGCUUGCUUUCCUUGCCGGCGACCGGCGCACGGGUGAGUAACACGUAUGCAACCUGCCCUCUUCAGGGGGACAACCUUCCGAAAGGGAGGCUAAUCCCGCGUAUAUCGGUUUCGGGCAUCCGAGAUCGAGGAAAGAUUCAUCGGAAGAGGAUGGGCAUGCGGCGCAUUAGCUUGACGGCGGGGUAACGGCCCACCGUGGCGACGAUGCGUAGGGGUUCUGAGAGGAAGGUCCCCCACACUGGUACUGAGACACGGACCAGACUCCUACGGGAGGCAGCAGUGAGGAAUAUUGGUCAAUGGGAGAGAUCCUGAACCAGCCAAGCCGCGUGAGGGAAGACGGCCCUAUGGGCUGUAAACCUCUUUUGUCGGAGAACAAAACCCGGGACGUGUCCCGGACUGCGUGUAUCCGAAGAAAAAGCAUCGGCUAACUCCGUG